GAAUACAAGAGGAGACCUGUGCUUCAGGUCAAGUUUCCUACUGUAGAUCAAGUUUUUGGUUCUUGUACAGGCCCUUCUGCCAUAGCCUAUAGAAUUGGAGGGGCACAUUAUGGCAGGAGAAGCAGUUCUAUCAGGCUUCAUGCAGGUCCUUCUUUGAGAAGCUGUCCAUGUUUGCAUGGAAUGAGUUCAGAUCACUUUGGGGCGUCGGCGAAGAGGUGGAAAAUCUCUCAAGUAGACCCAACAAUACAAGCCGUGCUUGAAGAUGCUGAGUAGAAGCAGUUGAAGGAU
rnacentral:lncRNA from 1 species